rnacentral:lncRNA from 1 species
CCUUCGCUCUGUCCAGUAUUGUCCUGUCACGGGGUGUUGUUUAGGGCCGGAGAGGGACCCAGAUGUGGUAUGCAGUGCACUCCUCCCUCAUCAUGGCUCUACAGUAUUCCCUCUCCCAGUCAGAACAACCCAGGCGGCCUCUACUCCUCUUAUCAGAUGGAGUCAGGCAGGCAGGAUGGGACGGGGACAGUGUGGAUCCAGCUGCUCCCAGGAGCAGGGUGCAGGCCCACGUAAUAGGUCUGCUGGCAUCCCAGGCCUCGCCCCACUGGCAUCCCAGUCACAGCCAGGCAGGCUGCUCCAUGGGUGGCACACCUUGGAAACAGGCGGCAGAGACAGAGGAGGUGGACACGGGGGAGACAGGUGAAGGGAACCUUCAACGCCGGGUGACUCUAGCUUGUCAGGCAAGACCUCAGAAUAAAAUGCGACACAUGUACACUUGUGACACCUCCUUCGUUGUUGCCAGUCUCCCUCGCCUCCUAUGAAAAGGACAUGCCAUCACGAGGCCUCUGACAGUGGCCCGAGUUACAGCCCAUAUGACGCAGACGGCUUCAUCAACGACAGGCCCUCCCAGUCCACAGCACCUUAUAAUAUUGCCUGCUGCAGUUGUUCGAGAGAUGUCCAGUUUGCAGCCGAACAUGCAGCAUAGAGAAGACCAGCAAGGGGGCCCUUAUCAGCAUCAUGCAGACAUGCCCUCACUGUGAGUAUUCCUAUGAAUGGAACAGUCAGCCACUUGUUGGCAAGUAUCAGCCCAGCAACCCUCACCUGUCGGUGGCAACAGCUUACACAGGCUCAUCAUUUGUACAAAUACAGAAGGUAACCCACUUUAUUACUUUGAUACAUUUGAUAGCCCAAUUGUGAAACCUAAUUUAUGUAAACAGACAUUACUUGUUGAUUAUUUUAUACUUCUUAGAUGCAUACAAUGUCCAGGGCAUAACCUAGCCUGGUGGAUCCAGUCUGAUCACUGUGUUCACCAUUCUAUUUCACUUCACAUUUUAUGAUAUCUGAAGUGAAAUAGAAAGGAGAAUGCAGCGAUCAGGUUGGGUCCACCAGGCUAAUCAUAACCAACAUUGAUCAUGUAAUCAGUGCUCUGUGUGUGUGUGUGUUUGUGUUUGACCGACCAGUAUCUUUGAUGAGGGGCUGAUCUAUGCUGCUAUGCCCGUCAAUGGGGCUCUGUCAAAGAAUCUCACCUCCAGCCUCACCACUUGCAUGUUCACCAACGGUCGUCGAAGGGGAGAAGAGAAUUAUGUAGGUUUAGUCUGACCUGUUCAAAUGUCAGCAUAGCACCUGUUUGUGUGUCAGAUAUGACCUAUCCUAACUGCCAUUAGUAAUAGAAAAGUGAAUGUGUGUUUGUGUUCACAGAAACAUGUAUGGAGCCAGCACAUAGAGACUUGCAAAAUGAUGUGAUGAAGUUCAGACUCACGGACGAGCUUCUCUCAAAGGAGAUAUACCUGGAACUCAGCAUAACAUUUUUACUAGACAUAACUUUUACUUGGGUCUUUUUUAUUAUUUAAUUGAAUGGUAUCAUUCAAUACGGGCAGGGAGAAACCCUGUGUAUUCUGCACCAGGAUCAGGGAACUCCUGUUGUACACGGGACACCACACAGGAAGAUAUGACCACUCUGACAUGUUUGCCAAGGUAGCCUCACUACCACCAGACAAAAUGCCGAUAGGCACAGUAUCUGUAUCGGCUGGGAAUGACAAUGGUGCACAUUGUUAUAUGUGACUCGUUUCAGGAAAGUAGGCAUAUGUCGCGUGUCACUACUUCACAGGAGCGCUAUUUGAACGUAAACAAUGUUUUUAAAAUCAAAAUGCGUUUUGGGGGAAUAAAAUUGUUAAAUUACGAGCCUAGUUGGUUUAGCCAUGGAAAAAGACAGAAACUUUCCCGCUAGCCAUGAUUGACUGAGAUAAUGAGUGGUUUGGACAUGCCGAGAGAUGAGUUCGGAUUGGUCUACCAUGUAGCACGCUUCUGUCUAUAAUAUGAGCUGGUCAGUAUGUGUAGGUAAUCCUUUCCAACGUGGCUUUUUUGAAAGAUAUCACAUAGUAGAACUGCAUAAGUGUUGCUCUCCACUUUCUGGAGGACUGAGUUUUGAAAUCAGUGGAAUUAGAGUAUGAUAGCUAAGGAGAUGGAGAAAAUUCUGCCGUUUGAUUGGAAAUAUGCAGACGGAGUCGAAAAGAGAACACAGAAGGCUCCGGAUUACAUCUUCAAACUAAGAGCAACCAUGGCAUCCCUGACAGAGAAGGAGAAGCGUCCAUCCAUGUAUAUGGGUAAGAGAGUCUAGCUAGCUAAAUUUUCAGAUAUUACACAUUUCUAAUUUUGUCAGAAAGUAAUUUUCAUUUGAAGUUAAAGUGUACUGUUAGCUAGCUAGCUAACGUUAGCUGGCUGGCUAGCUAGCUAAUGUUACGGGUAUGAUCUUUGUGGUAAUUUUAUUCAUAUCUCAGAGCCAUUUGCAUUGCUAGUUAUAGCCUGAUGUUAGCUAGCUAACAAUGAACCUGGUUGGUUUGCUACCUGCAGAUUCAUGCAGGGUAGUAAUGUCAUGAGAUGGUAUUAUGGUUCAUUGUUUAGCUAGCUAGCUACAUGUCUUAACAAAAGACCACUAUGCAAGUAACUAUUUCAAUAGAAUGUUAAUGAUGUCACUGUGACAACUGUCGAUAGACGUAGCUAGUCAAUUCGCUCUGGCUAUCUACUCUGAUUUCAGAGCACUCUCGUCUGAGUGUGCCAGAGCGCAGAAUAACUGAUGAAUUUACGAAUGCUCAACACCCGUUGAACAUGGCCGGUGUCAGUAAAUGUUGGCAAAAAAUGAGUAAUUAAAUUGUUGCCAGCAGCACAGUUAAAGUUACCAACGCUCUGAAUAACAUGAAAACAGCCUAAUCAGCUCUGCUAGGGAGAGUAAAACGGUCAGAGUGAGGUGUUCUCUCAUUUGUGUCUGAAAGUAUCUAGCCAGUUAGCUUGGGUGCUUGACUGCCGUUGUGAGGUCAGAGCUCUCUGAUCAACCCUACUCCUCGGCCAGUGUCCAGUGUGCGAACAACAAUCUGACAAGGCUCUGAAUUUACGAACGCCCAGAGCGCACUCUGGCACUCCAGAUAAAAUGUAAGAACACACCCGUAGUAUAAACUAGCCUUUAGUCUUGAAAUCUUUGGUUGUUUAGUACAUGGCCUCACAUGUGAAUCCUCAAAGAGAUGGGUGGGGCUAAAGCUUAAGAGGGUGAGAAUGAUGCUGAAUGGGUGUAGACAAAGAAGAGCUCUCCAGUAGGUACCAAAACACUGAAGGGCCAUUUUCUCAAAAGUGAGGUUACAAGUUUAUAAACUUACAAAGCAGAAUUACUUUCCCAUUGUUCCUCAACUGUAGUGUAUUAUAUAAAAAUGUUUGUAGCUCUGAGUCUCUACUUUUAUCCAAUGUAAAAAACACAAUUUAAAAUUUUACUACAUAAGACCGAAUCGAGCCGGUCUGUCACAUAUUAGCAGAACACUGUUUAUUCUACAUGGACGUGUUACUACAAUUGAAAGUAAUCAAAACAGUUAUGAAUAUCUACAUACAUUCAGCAAUUGCAUUCUCUUAUUACUCUGUAGGCUGCUGACCUGUUCAAAGUUCAUUUGCUGUCAUUUGAUUGCUGUUUUGUUUCAUAUUGUGUUUGAUUGUUGUGUUGCUGUGAUCAGGGAACCCUUGUGAAUGAAACCCUAAAAUAAAUAAAUAUACACUUUUUU